rnacentral:lncRNA from 1 species
CACCGAGGAAGAGUGGAUUGGAUGACCUCGAUGAAGUACAAAAUUCUCAGCAAAAGUUCUGCAUUUGAUGCGUGUACAAUUUAAAGCUUCCACCCCAUCCUGGACCAGGAAUGUAUCAUUCGCGCCAGAGAAGGAUUCAGUUUCCUUCAUAUAAAUCAUCUAAACAUUUUUAUUUAUUAAAACAUGCAUUGAUAAUUAUUCAGCUUUCCACGAUUGUUUCUUUUGUUCCUUUUUAAACUUAAAAUUGCUAAAAUCAUUCAUCUAAAAAGUUAUUUAUCUUUUAUAGAUAGAUUUAGGCAAAGAU